rnacentral:rRNA from 1 species
GAUGAACGCUGGCGGCGUGCCUAAUACGUGCAAGUCGAGCGAACAGAUGAGGAGCUUGCUCCUCUGACGUUAGCGGCGGACGGGUGAGUAACACGUGGAUAACCUACCUAUAAGACUGGGAUAACUUCGGGAAACCGGAGCUAAUACCGGAUAAUAUAUUGAACCGCAUGGUUCAAUAGUGAAAGACGGUUUUGCUGUCACUUAUAGAUGGAUCCGCGCCGCAUUAGCUAGUUGGUAAGGUAACGGCUUACCAAGGCAACGAUGCGUAGCCGACCUGAGAGGGUGAUCGGCCACACUGGAACUGAGACACGGUCCAGACUCCUACGGGAGGCAGCAGUAGGGAAUCUUCCGCAAUGGGCGAAGGCCUGACGGAGCAACGCCGCGUGAGUGAUGAAGGUCUUCGGAUCGUAAAACUCUGUUAUUAGGGAAGAACAAAUGUGUAAGUAACUAUGCACGUCUUGACGGUACCUAAUCAGAAAGCCACGGCUAACUACGU